CGUGCUAAGAAUAGACUCGGCUUCGCCUCAUCGAUUCUUAGCACGAAUCUACAGUUCCUCGUCCAUUCUCCUGAACAGAAUGGCUUCCAUACUUGCACAGUCUAAAACUAAAAUAGCUCACUUUGUUUCCUUCUGCAGGGUUUUCACAUCCUUGAUAUGAAGUGCAAUGAUGCCGGAACUCACUGCCAGAAAUGCCACAUAGCGCAUACCGAAUGGAACAUCGCACCCAUGCGUAAAGUGUCUGCGUUCACAGAGGAUCCCCGCUCAUUACGUAUUCCGGUUCAUCAAAGGCAACCAGGACUGGAAGAUAUCUAUCAUCCAAGCUGACCUGGCUCAACCGUAUCGUAUCUGCACUGCUUGGAAUAACUUUACGAUGGACGCACAGCUUGCUAGGAUCGAUCCGUACGUGUGCGUGGACAACUACAACACCCUCGGGGAUGAAAGUGCCGCCUGAUGAACGCCCUAGACCCGUCUUAGGGCGAAGACGAAUUUGCUUAGCACAGAAAAUAUUUGCUUAGCAAAAACAGGUUACCAGGCAAAACGUCGUGUCAUGUAUAUUGCGUACGACUGGUAUUCUGUUUAUUUUUGUUUGACAUGUAAAUUUACUAAGCAACAUUUUCGGCUAAGCAGCUGUGUGAGAUUUGGCCCUGCGAAAUAGAUCAAUCAAAUUGGUAUUGAAAAAAGAUUAAACACGUGCACUUAAUGCAGGUUUAAUGAAACAAAAAGCCUUCACUUCUUAAACCAAACUCUUGGGGGCGGCAGACUAAUUGUUUUUAAAGAACAGCUGAAUGCCGCCACCAAGAGUCGGAGACGCUAUGAGUGCAACGUAUUUUCCAGAUGAGAAGAGUAUUAUUCCUUUUUCCAAUUUCAUUUUAAAAAAAUAAUCGCACGGUUCAUUUUACUAACAAACAAAAAACUAUACAAAAAAUGAAUAUUUCAUAGGGAAUCAAACAAUCGUGGAAGGCCAAAUUUAUUAACGGAUUACGACAAAGAUGGACUGAGCCAGACGACGCCUUUUUAUUCAAAUUUAGAAGCGUCUUUAAAGUAUAUGUUUGGAAAAUUUCAUAAGUUGGCAUCCGCGGCGUGCGGCAAUUUGUGACAGUGAAAAGUGCCUUUUGUUGUUGAAAAUCAGACUUUCGCAUUUGUUGAAUGGAGAAUAUUUGUUGCCAAUCAUGGUUCGUUGGUUUACUAUUUAAUUAAGUGGUUAGCUUUGCGGAUUUUUGUACGAAUUACGCGGAUCAUUUUAAUUUCUAACGGCCGAUUAUUUAUAAAAGUUGUCAAGGGAUAAUGCACUUUUGGAUUUAAUUGUCACUCUGAUAAACUUAAGCUUGAUAUUCGACUUUUUGUGAAUAUUGUCAAAUCGGAAGCAUUCUUUUGGCGACAUUUGCUAGUGUUUUAUUGAUUUUUUUUCUUCAAAGCUUGGAUGCCCAUUCGAUUCUUUCCAAAUUGUAAGAAAAAAUUGCAACCCUACCCACGCCCCCAACACACCUUGCCCCAACUUUCACCCAUAAAUACAGGAUUCCCUACGAUAUGAGUUGCUCGGCAAGCACUGUUUCUCUGAGAGUUGUUGUGCAAACAAUCAUAGUCUGGAAUUGACAGUUCGGAAAUUUGGUGGGCGGAGGUGACACUCGUUUGUGAAAAUAACGUCGUUUUGUCCUCACUGUCUGGCAGAAAAAAAGCCAAAUCUGAAAAUUUACUUACUACUGCACAUGCUCAUCACAAAACUUUCUUAGCGGUGGCGGCGCAGAAUCAAUAUUGCAUGUGCUACUGCGAACAUGCAAAAAUCACUCGGAGUACCAGUGACAAUGGAGGGAAAUGUUUUGUAUACUGAAGUAAGUAAAAAGACAGAUGGA